rnacentral:misc_RNA from 1 species
GAUGAAGAACGCAGUGAAAUGCGAUAAGUAAUGUGAAUUGCAGAAUUCAGUGAAUCAUCGAAUCUUUGAACGCACCUUGCGCCCUUUGGCCAUUCCGAAGGGCAUGCCUGUUUGAGUAUCAUGAACACCUCAACUCUUCAUGGUUUUCCAUGAUGAGCUUGGACUUUGGGGGUCUUGCUGGCCUGUGGGUCGGCUCCUCUCAAAUGAAUCAGCUUGCCAGUUUUUGGUGGGCAUCACAGGUGUGAUAACUAUCUACGCUUGUGGUUUUCCACCAGGGUAACCUUCAGCAGUGGAGGUUCACUGGAGCUUACAAAUGUCUCUCCUCUGUGAGGACAGCCCUUUGAAUGUUUGAUCUCAAAUCAGGUAGGACUACCCGCUGAACUUAAGCAUAUCAAUAAGCGGAGGA